AUGAGCUUCCCCUGCAGUCAGUGCGGGUUUCCAAACCAGGAGACACUGAACAAGAUGCAGCGCUCCAGCAGUGCCCUGCAAGGCAGAGCAGAGGGGAGCAGCACCUCCCUGCCCCACUGGCUGCACUCUGGCAAUGCACCACAGGGUUCCCUUGGCCCUCUUGGCCACCAAGGCUCACUGCUGGCUCGUGGUCAACCACUGCUCAACUGGUGGUCAUUUGUUGGACCUACUGGUCACCAGGGCUCAUUGCUGGCUGACUUGGCCACCAGGACAUACUGCUGCCUCGUGGUCAAUCAUGGAUCUUCUUGGCCACCAGGACAUACUGCUGCCUCGUGCUCAAUCAUGGAUCUUCUUGGCCACCAGGACAUACUGCUGCCUCGUGCUCAAUCAUGGAUCUUCUAUGGCCACCAGGACAUACUGCUGCCUCAUGCUCAAUCAUGGAUCUUCUAUGGCCACCAGGACAUACUGCUGCCUCGUGCUCAAUCAUGGAUCUUCUAUGGCCACCAGGACAUACUGCUGCCUCGUGGUCAAUCAUGGAUCUUCUAUGGCCACCAGGACAUACUGCUGCCUCGUGCUCAAUCCUGGAUCUUCUAUGGCCACCAGGACAUACUGCUGCCUCGUGCUCAAUCAUGGAUCUUCUUGGCCACCAGGACAUACUGCUGCCUCGUGGUCAAUCCUGGAUCUUCUUGGUCACCAGAAUAUGCUUCCAGCUUGUUGCCAACCCCUGGUCACCUGUUAGCCACCAGGAUCAACAGGUCCUGGUCUGCACAGCUUCUUACCACUCACGGUCAGUCAUUGGUCAACUGUUGGUCAACCACUGGCCCUCUUGGCUACCAGGGCUCACCGUUGGCUCGUGGUCAACCAUUGGCCAACUGUUGGUCAACCACUGGCUGUCUUAACCACCAGGACAUACUGCUGACUUGUGGUCAACCAAUAGGUCAACCACUGGCCCUCUUGGCCACCAGGGCUCACCGCUGGCUCAUGGUGGACCACUGCUCAACUGCUGGUCAUCUGUUGGCCCUGCUGGUCACCAGGGCUCACCGCUGGCUGUCUUGGCCAGCAGAACAUACUGCUGACUCGUGGUCAAUCAUGGGCCUUCUUGGCCACCGGGACAACCAGGUCCUGGUCUGCAGAGCUUCUUUCCAGUCACGGUCAGUCAUUGGUCAACUGUUGGUCAACCAUUGA
rnacentral:lncRNA from 1 species